CGCUGGUAUUUUAUAGAAUGGCGAUUGGAUAAGCAUCCAAUCACGGUUUCCUUUUUAAAACAACUUUACUUUCUUCUUUCGUUUGGAAACUACUUUACUUUUCUUCUUAGCUCCGGAGAUUCCCAAAUCGAACAGAGUCCUAGUCGAAGUCCUAGAUCUUCGAUUCCCAAAUCUUCGACAGAUGUUUCAUCUUCUGAACCUCCUCUUCCGACUCACAGCAACAGCUCCGGAGAUUCCCAGCAACAGACGCGGUGGAUUAGGGUUUCAUCUUCUGAGAAUGGAAUUCUGAACCUCCGGUGGAUUAGGGUUUCAUCUUUUACAACAGACGUUUAUAGAAUGGCGAUUUGAUGAAUGGUCGAAUAGAAGUCAGACGUUUCAUAUUCUGCAACAGACGCGGGUUGUACUUGGGUUUUAAUCUUCGUGCGGAAUUCUUGAGCAGCAUUUCAUAUCAAAACUCUUCUUUAUGCUUUUCUUGCCGAUCCAGCUGAAGGAAGAACGAAGAUUGAAAAGAUAUGAGGUGAAACCAAUCGAUUGCUAAGUUAAGUUGCAGACGGAGUGAUUCAAUGCUACCAAUCCCAUCUUCAUCUUCGACUCACCGUUGAAAUCUCUGAGAUCCAAUUUGAUGAAUGAAGGUCGAAUAUAAGUCAGACGCAAAUCUUCGACUCAACAGAACCGUUGAAAUGAAGAUCGAAUAGAAGAAAGGAGCAUCUUCUGGGAUCAACAACAGACGCGGAUUGUACCUCUGGUGGAUUAGGGUUUCCAGACGAUUCAUAACAACUGUCUAGCAUUCGAUUGGACUCGAUUUUAUCCGGAUUUUAUAAAACCAAUCGAUUGAACGAAGAUCACUCGUUAGCUGAAGGCGACCUUCUUCUUCCGAUUCUCUUCUCCUUCCUUCUUCUGUUAGGUCCUGCAUCUGUGAUUGCCCCUGAUUCCUAAAGAAAUUCAAUAAAACAACUGGUCGUGAGGUUCAAAUCUCGCUUGAUUGCGUUAGAGACAAAAACCUUAUGCAGCUAAAGAAACUCAACAUUGCUCUUUUUCCCGUUUGCUACAAUGAUACAUACAUACCCACUCUAGUGGCAACAAAUGGAUAUUGAAUAUACUUUCUGGCAAAUGCUUCACUUGUGCACAUCACCAAAAGUUGUGUGGUACAAUUUUCAGAAGCAUACAUGUCUGCUGUUGAAUGUUAUAAAGAUCAAAGGAGGAAGGUUUCACGCUUGAAGAAAAUGAUCGCACGGAAGGCUUCAAGGAGUAUAGAAAGAUUUUAGACAUGACUAAGUUCACACAAGAAAAGAUUGAACGCUUGAAGGCUAGAUCAAGUCGCUUGCUUAACAGGAUAGAGCAAAUCGAGCCUUCUGGAUGGAGGGAAUUCAUGCAGGUCAGCAAUGUCAUCCAUGAAGCUAGAGCACUAGAUAUAAAUAUGCACAUGAUAUUUCCUCUUUGGUGAAACAACUUCUGCAAUUCGAGGAGAAAAUGAACUCUAGCUUGCAAUGGUCCUACGGAAUAAAAUUUUGUUAAGUCUAAAGCCUGCACAGUUUGCUGUCGUUUGUGGUAGUUUAGUUUCGGAAGGGAUUAAACUUCGUCCAUGGAAAAAUAACAGGUAUAGUUUUAUUUUCAGGAUCAUGUUCAUGAUGAUUUUUCUUGGCUUUGAGGAGUUAACACCA